rnacentral:lncRNA from 1 species
UAUUCAGCAUAUUAUCUAUGCGGACACAAAUUCUGCUAAUUUUGUCCUUGAACAAAUUUCAUCCUCAUACGAAGAUCUUGUUGCUCUUUUCGCAUGGCCAACUAUGAAAACUUCUAAAAAAAAAUAUUAUAAGGUCUAUUAUUAAUUCAUCUUCUCUUCAAACACGAGGUCACUCAAUGCUAAAGACUCAUUUCGGAAGUUUUAAACAAUGCUAACAUGCAUUUCCCUGCCAUCCAUUGUAAAUAUCUCAUCC